ensembl:snoRNA
GUGUGUCUAUUUGACAGAUGCAAGGCAGUUACUGUCUGCUUUUAAGGUUUCCAUUACAGAUGCAAGAAGAAAGUUUCCUCACACUUCCUGUCUGUCUGAUUGUGGCAGCCAAGACCGAAUAGAGGAACACAGAG